UACGGAAGGCAGCAGUGGGGAAUAUUGCACAAUGGGCGCAAGCCUGAUGCAGCCAUGCCGCGUGUAUGAAAAAGGCCUUCGGGUUGUAAAGUACUUUCAGUCGUGAGGAAGGUGUUAAGGUUAAUAACCUUAGCAAUUGACGUUAGCGACAGAAGAAGCACCGGCUAACUCCAUGCCAGCAGCCGCGGUAAUACGGAGGGUGCGAGCGUUAAUCGGAAUUACUGGGCGUAAAGGGCACGCAGGCGGUUAAUUAAGUUGGAUGUGAAAUCCCCGGGCUUAACCUGGGAAUGGCAUUCAAGACUGGUUAGCUAGAGUCUUGUAGAGGGGGUAGAAUUCCAUGUGUAGCGGUGAAAUGCGUAGAGAUGUGGAGGAAUACCGGGUGGCGAAGGCGGCCCCUGGGACAAAGGACUGACGCUCAUGUGCGAAAGCGUGGGGAGCAAACGAGGAUUAGAUACC
rnacentral:rRNA from 1 species